GGGGAUGUAGCUCAGCAGUGCAGUGCCUGCCUGGCAAGCAUGAGGCCCUGAGUUUGAUUCUCAGUUCCA
rnacentral:tRNA from 1 species